UACAGAGGGGGCAAGCGUUGUUCGGAAUUACUGGGCGUAAAGGGCGCGUAGGCGGCCUCUUAAGUCGAACGUGAAAUCCCCGGGCUCAACCCGGGAACUGCGUCCGAUACUGGGAGGCUUGAAUCCGAGAGAGGGAUGUGGAAUUCCAGGUGUAGCGGUGAAAUGCGUAGAUAUCUGGAGGAACACCGGUGGCGAAGGCGGCAUCCUGGACCGGUAUUGACGCUGAGGCGCGAAAGCUAGGGGAGCAAACAGG
rnacentral:rRNA from 1 species